AGCGAACGCUGGCGGCAGGCUUAACACAUGCAAGUCGAGCGGGCGUAGCAAUACGUCAGCGGCAGACGGGUGAGUAACGCGUGGGAACGUACUUUGGUUCGGAACAACACAGGGAAACUUGUGCUAAUACCGGAUAAGCCCUUACGGGGAAAGAUUUAUCGCCGAAAGAUCGGCCCGCGUCUGAUUAGCUAGUUGGUGAGGUAACGGCUCACCAAGGCGACGAUCAGUAGCUGGUCUGAAGAGGAUGAUCAGCCACAUUGGGACUGAGACACGGCCCAAACUCCUACGGAGGCAGCAGUGGGGAAUAUUGGACAAUGGGCGCAAG
rnacentral:rRNA from 1 species